UUUCAGAUUAGUUUUUGUUUUUGCAGCAAUUCGAAACUGCAGAACACAUGUUCAUCUUCCCCCAACCUACACAGUCAAUAGUAAUAGUUUUUAUGAUGAUACAUGAGCCAGUACUAUGGCUCAAUUUGAUAUGCUAUUUGGAUAAAUACACUUUUGUGGAAUUGUGCGAACUUCUCUUCAUGUUGUUUACAGGCAGCCAAAGUUACACAUCCAGCCAUGACGACUACAUGUAAUUGUUUGUACAUAAACCUCAGCUCAAGAUAAGGUUGAUGGAAGUACUUUCUAUAUAUGUUCUCCCCAUUUAAUUAUUUUUUUGAUAAGUUCUAUGGGAUAGCUGGAGCGAUGUUUGUUUUAUUUAUAAUGUGUACAUCUAUGUAUCAUAACUUGUGGCUGCAUGCCUAUCAAGUAUUUGAUGCAUUCACCUGAGAUUAGUAAUGAUGUUAAGUCCUCCUAGAUUAAUCUCAUAUAUACAUUUGCAGGUUGUGCUUUACGAUCCUAAUGAGGGAUUUGACAAGAAAUAUUUUCCAAUCGGGAGAGGUUUCAUAUCAGUUAUAUGAGAAGUGCAAUAUUUGUUGGAUGCUAUGGUGGCGAUGGUGGUCGGGGGCUCCGAUGCGGAGGCCCGCAAGGGGGAAACGGAAGGUGGCGGAGAAGGGAAGGUCAUGGCCGGGAAGCAAGUUAGGCACCACCGUAUGGACAGGAAAGAGGGCGCUCGGAGGUACCUAGGAAAUCGGGAGGGGCUGAGCAAGACGGCCAAGGGUGUCGCCAAGGUUUUCGGCGUCUAGCCGUCCACUCCUUGAGGAGAUUGGAUGACUAUUGUAAUAUGAGUGUUGACAAGCUGAAGAAGAUGGCCGGUGCCCUGUGCCGGAGGCAAGGGCAGCGUGCACAUGUGCUUUCUAUGGUACCCGGUCAUCCAUAGGUAGUGUCAUUGGUUUUGCUGCAAGCAGUAGCAUUUCCCUCUUUCAACACAUUAUGUGUUCUACAUGUAUUCAUUUUACCUGUGUAAAUAGUUUGUCUCAGACCUGAAAUAUUUCCUCAUAAUCAG